GAUGAACGCUGGCGGCGUGCCUAAUACAUGCAAGUCGAGCGAACGGACGAGAAGCUUGCUUUUCUGAUGUUAGCGGCGGACGGGUGAGUAACACGUGGAUAACCUACCUAUAAGACUGGGAUAACUUCGGGAAACCGGAGCUAAUGCCGGAUAAUAUUUUGAACCGCAUGGUUCAAAAGUGAAAGACGGUCUUGCUGUCACUUAUAGAUGGAUCCGCGCUGCAUUAGCUAGUUGGUAAGGUAACGGCUUACCAAGGCAACGAUGCAUAGCCGACCUGAGAGGGUGAUCGGCCACACUGGAACUGAGACACGGUCCAGACUCCUACGGGAGGCAGCGGUAGGGAAUCUUCCGCAAUGGGCGAAAGCCUGACGGAGCAACGCCGCGUGAGUGAUGAAGGUCUUCGGAUCGUAAAACUCUGUUAUUAGGGAAGAACAUAUGUGUAAGUAACUGUGCACAUCUUGACGGUACCUAAUCAGAAAGCCACGGCUAACUACGUG
rnacentral:rRNA from 1 species